rnacentral:misc_RNA from 1 species
GUCACACAGUUCUACAUUUUACCAAAAAAUUGAGAUACCUGGUGAUAGAAAUUUCAAAUUUAUACAAGCAAGCUCAAUUUCUCAAGUUAAACUUACAAAAGCUUACAAGUUCUCCUUGGACAAACCCAUUAUGAUGUCUCAAGUGUCUUUUGUUAACUUGCUUCAGUUCUUCCUUUUAGCCAAAACACCCGCAUCAGGUGAGGAAGUUUAGACAUAGAUAUAAGACUUUGACCCUUUUAGUGAAUGGGAAAAUCAAAGAAAAUUUUGAAAGCACACAUUCUUAUAUGAUAUUUAUACUUGAGUUCAAAUAACGUAGGCCUCUAGUUUUGAUUAGAUAUAUGUAGGGCAUGGAAUUAUGAAGAAAGAAGUAGGCAAGGAUGGGUGCAAGGGAUGUGCAUGAAAUUUUAAAGAAACAAGUAGGGAGGAAUACACUUAAAAUUUUGAAGAAACAAGGGAGAAAGAGAUGCAUGAAAUUUGAAGAAACAAGUAGAUCCCUAGGUCAAUCUGUGAGGAAGGGGAGGAGAGACAGAGAACACAUAUGGAUAGCAACUCAAGUGUUAUUCGUGCAACACAUUAAUUUAGUAAUUAUCUGAUUUGUCAAAGGGCUGAGAAGGAAACUUCAUAUUAGGCUAUAUGGAAGGAGGCAUUAAAUAAAGAUUUCUUGGUAAAUUUUUUGACCAUAUAUCUAUUAUUAAUAUUGUUCCAUUGGCUGGAAGAAAUAAUUUUAUAUGACAUGCACCUAUUUUUAGCAGGUGUUGUAG